AAGCCGUGUUGGGGGCAACAUCUCAAUAGCUCUUGGAAUCUCUCCCAAGCAUCAUGUAUAGUCUCAUCCCCCAUCCGAGCAAAGUGGAAAAUCUCCAAGAUGGUUU